UACGGGGGGGGCAAGCGUUGUUCGGAAUUACUGGGCGUAAAGGGCUCGUAGGCGGCCAACUAAGUCAGACGUGAAAUCCCUCGGCUUAACCGGGGAACUGCAUCUGAUACUGGAUGGCUUGAGUUUGGGAGAGGGAUGCGGAAUUCCAGGUGUAGCGGUGAAAUGCGUAGAUAUCAGGAGGAACACCUGUGGUGUAGACGGCUUUCUGGACCAUCACUGACGCUGAGACACGAAAGCGUGGGGAGCAAACAGG
rnacentral:rRNA from 1 species